rnacentral:rRNA from 1 species
UACGUAGGUGACAAGCGUUGUCCGGAUUUACUGGGCGUAAAGAGCGCGCAGGCGGUCGUUCAAGUCGAGUGUGAAAGCCCCCGGCUCAACUGGGGAGGGUCACUCGAUACUGAUCGACUCGAAGGCAGGAGAGGGUAGUGGAAUUCCCGGUGUAGUGGUGAAAUGCGUAGAUAUCGGGAGGAACACCAGUGGCGAAGGCGACUACCUGGCCUGUUCUUGACGCUGAGGCACGAAAGCGUGGGGAGCAAACAGG